UAAGACUGGGAUAACUCCGGGAAACCGGGGCUAAUACCGGAUAACAUUUUGAACCGCAUGGUUCGAAAUUGAAAGGCGGCUUCGGCUGUCACUUAUGGAUGGACCCGCGUCGCAUUAGCUAGUUGGUGAGGUAACGGCUCACCAAGGCAACGAUGCGUAGCCGACCUGAGAGGGUGAUCGGCCACACUGGGACUGAGACACGGCCCAGACUCCUACGGGAGGCAGCAGUAGGGAAUCUUCCGCAAUGGACGAAAGUCUGACGGAGCAACGCCGCGUGAGUGAUGAAGGCUUUCGGGUCGUAAAACUCUGUUGUUAGGGAAGAACAAGUGCUAGUUGAAUAAGCUGGCACCUUGACGGUACCUAACCAGAAAGCCACGGCUAACUACGUGCCAGCAGCCGCGGUAAUACGUAGGUGGCAAGCGUUAUCCGGAAUUAUUGGGCGUAAAGCGCGCGCAGGUGGUUUCUUAAGUCUGAUGUGAAAGCCCACGGCUCAACCGUGGAGGGUCAUUGGAAACUGGGAGACUUGAGUGCAG
rnacentral:rRNA from 2 species